rnacentral:lncRNA from 1 species
GUUGAAAAAGAAAAAAUCACUACUGAAACAUUUGCAUCAACUUUCAAGUUGGCAGCCAAGUAAUAUUAGUGUGGAUUUUGGACGUUUUCUCAUUAUAUAUAAGUUGGAUUGAGGUAAAUUCUUUUGAAGCACAUAGAAGACUUAUAGUGGUAUUUGUGUUCAAAAAUUUGUUAUAAGUGGAUGAUUAGAUUAGGAGCUACAACUUGCUAAAGUUUACUGAAUAGAAUUAAGGUUAUAGAGAAAAUUCAAAAUUAUCUAAUUAUGAAAGUAACAAGGCAAUUGGAGUUUAUAUAUGGUUUA